CGGGGUGAUAGCAGUGGCAGCUAGUUGGGCUCAUAACCCAAAGGUCGGCGGUUCAAAUCCCGCUACCCCGAC
rnacentral:tRNA from 1 species